rfam:Schistosoma haematobium scaffold101_33, whole genome shotgun sequence.
AUCCAGCUGACCAGUGCAAAAUAGGAUGAAACAAGCAUCCUGGAU